rnacentral:rRNA from 1 species
AAUCAACGCUGGCGGCGUGCCUCAGACAUGCAAGUCGAACGAUUAAGACUUCCUUCGGGAAGUGUAUAAAGUGGCGCACGAGUGAGUAACACGUAGGUAAUGUGCCUUUGGGUGGGGAAUAACUUUGGGAAACUUAAGCUAAUACCGCAUAAUGCAGCGGCUCGACAUCGAGACAGUUGUUAAAGGAGUAAUCCGCCUAAAGAGCAGCCUGCGGCAGAUUAGCUAGUUGGUAAGGUAAUGGCUUACCAAGGCUACGAUCUGUAACCGACCUGAGAGGGUGGUCGGUCACACUGACACUGAAUAACGGGUCAGACUCCUACGGGAGGCAGCAGUCGGGAAUUUUGGGCAAUGGGCGAAAGCCUGACCCAGCAACGCCGCGUGAAGGAUGAAGUAUUUCGGUAUGUAAACUUCGUAAGAAUAGGAAGAAUAAAUGACGGUACUAUUUGUAAGGUCCGGCUAACUACGUGCCAGCCGCCGCUGUAAAAC